GCGCCCGUAGCUCAGCUGGAUAGAGCGUUUGACUACGAAUCAAAAGGUCGCAGGUUCGACUCCUGCCGGGCGUACCA
rnacentral:tRNA from 1 species